ACCCUCUAAUACUACUCUCGUCCAAGCACGCUUAACUGCAGUGUUCUGAUGGGAUCCGGUGCAUUAGUGCUGGUAUGAUCGCAUCUGUUAGUACAUGCAAUGCAAUCGUAUUUAUACUUUUUUGGC
rnacentral:sRNA from 1 species